GAUUAAGUUAUUAAGGGCGCACGGUGGAUGCCUUGGCACUAGAAGCCGAUGAAGGACGUUACUAACGACGAUAUGCUUUGGGGAGCUGUAAGUAAGCUUUGAUCCAGAGAUUUCCGAAUGGGGAAACCCAGCAUGAGUUAUGUCAUGUUAUCGAUAUGUGAAUACAUAGCAUAUCAGAAGGCACACCCGGAGAACUGAAACAUCUUAGUACCCGGAGGAAGAGAAAGAAAAUUCGAUUCCCUUAGUAGCGGCGAUCGANNUNUGANNNANNGCCCAAACCAACAAGCUUGCUUNUUGGGGUUGUAGGACACUCUAUACGGAGUUACAAAGGACGACAUUAGACGAAUCAUCUGGAAAGAUGAAUCAAAGAAGGUAAUAAUCCUGUAGUCGAAAAUGUUGUCUCUCUUGAGUGGAUCCUGAGUACGACGGAGCACGUGAAAUUCCGUCGGAAUCUGGGAGGACCAUCUCCUAAGGCUAAAUACUCUCUAGUGACCGAUAGUGAACCAGUACCGUGAGGGAAAGGUGAAAAGCACCCCGGAAGGGGAGUGAAAUAGAACCUGAAACCGUGUGCUUACAAGUAGUCAGAGCCCGUUAAUGGGUGAUGGCGUGCCUUUUGUAGAAUGAACCGGCGAGUUACGAUUUGAUGCAAGGUUAAGCAGUAAAUGUGGAGCCGUAGCGAAAGCGAGUCUGAAUAGGGCGUUUAGUAUUUGGUCGUAGACCCGAAACCAGGUGAUCUACCCUUGGUCAGGUUGAAGUUCAGGUAACACUGAAUGGAGGACCGAACCGACUUACGUUGAAAAGUGAGCGGAUGAACUGAGGGUAGCGGAGAAAUUCCAAUCGAACCUGGAGAUAGCUGGUUCUCUCCGAAAUAGCUUUAGGGCUAGCCUCAAGUGAUGAUUAUUGGAGGUAGAGCACUGUUUGGACGAGGGGCCCCUCUCGGGUUACCGAAUUCAGACAAACUCCGAAUGCCAAUUAAUUUAACUUGGGAGUCAGAACAUGGGUGAUAAGGUCCGUGUUCGAAAGGGAAACAGCCCAGACCACCAGCUAAGGUCCCAAAAUAUAUGUUAAGUGGAAAAGGAUGUGGCGUUGCCCAGACAACUAGGAUGUUGGCUUAGAAGCAGCCAUCAUUUAAAGAGUGCGUAAUAGCUCACUAGUCGAGUGACACUGCGCCGAAAAUGUACCGGGGCUAAACAUAUUACCGAAGCUGUGGAUUGUCCUUUGGACAAUGGUAGGAGAGCGUUCUAAGGGCGUUGAAGCAUGAUCGUAAGGACAUGUGGAGCGCUUAGAAGUGAGAANGCCGGUGUGNGNCGCGAAAGACGGGUGAGAAUCCCGUCCACCGAUUGACUAAGGUUUCCAGAGGAAGGCUCGUCCGCUCUGGGUUAGUCGGGUCCUAAGCUGAGGCCGACAGGCGUAGGCGAUGGAUAACAGGUUGAUAUUCCUGUACCACCUAUAAUCGUUUUAAUCGAUGGGGGGACGCAGUAGGAUAGGCGAAGCGUGCGAUUGGAUUGCACGUCUAAGCAGUAAGGCUGAGUAUUAGGCAAAUCCGGUACUCGUUAAGGCUGAGCUGUGAUGGGGAGAAGACAUUGAGUCUUCGAGUCGUUGAUUUCACACUGCCGAGAAAAGCCUCUAGAUAGAAAAUAGGUGCCCGUACCGCAAACCGACACAGGUAGUCAAGAUGAGAAUUCUAAGGUGAGCGAGCGAACUCUCGUUAAGGAACUCGGCAAAAUGACCCCGUAACUUCGGGAGAAGGGGUGCUCUUUAGGGUUAACGCCCAGAAGAGCCGCAGUGAAUAGGCCCAAGCGACUGUUUAUCAAAAACACAGGUCUCUGCUAAACCGUAAGGUGAUGUAUAGGGGCUGACGCCUGCCCGGUGCUGGAAGGUUAAGAGGAGUGGUUAGCUUCUGCGAAGCUACGAAUCGAAGCCCCAGUAAACGGCGGCCGUAACUAUAACGGUCCUAAGGUAGCGAAAUUCCUUGUCGGGUAAGUUCCGACCCGCACGAAAGGCGUAACGAUUUGGGCACUGUCUCAACGAGAGACUCGGUGAAAUCAUAGUACCUGUGAAGAUGCAGGUUACCCGCGACAGGACGGAAAGACCCCGUGGAGCUUUACUGUAGCCUGAUAUUGAAAUUCGGCACAGCUUGUACAGGAUAGGUAGGAGCCUUUGAAACGUGAGCGCUAGCUUACGUGGAGGCGCUGGUGGGAUACUACCCUAGCUGUGUUGGCUUUCUAACCCGCACCACUUAUCGUGGUGGGAGACAGUGUCAGGCGGGCAGUUUGACUGGGGCGGUCGCCUCCUAAAAGGUAACGGAGGCGCUCAAAGGUUCCCUCAGAAUGGUUGGAAAUCAUUCAUAGAGUGUAAAGGCAUAAGGGAGCUUGACUGCGAGACCUACAAGUCGAGCAGGGUCGAAAGACGGACUUAGUGAUCCGGUGGUUCCGCAUGGAAGGGCCAUCGCUCAACGGAUAAAAGCUACCCCGGGGAUAACAGGCUUAUCUCCCCCAAGAGUUCACAUCGACGGGGAGGUUUGGCACCUCGAUGUCGGCUCAUCGCAUCCUGGGGCUGUAGUCGGUCCCAAGGGUUGGGCUGUUCGCCCAUUAAAGCGGUACGCGAGCUGGGUUCAGAACGUCGUGAGACAGUUCGGUCCCUAUCCGUCGUGGGCGUAGGAAAUUUGAGAGGAGCUGUCCUUAGUACGAGAGGACCGGGAUGGACAUACCUCUGGUGUACCAGUUGUCGUGCCAACGGCAUAGCUGGGUAGCUAUGUGUGGACGGGAUAAGUGCUGAAAGCAUCUAAGCAUGAAGCCCCCCUCAAGAUGAGAUUUCCCAACUUCGGUUAUAAGAUCCCUCAAAGAUGAUGAGGUUAAUAGGUUCGAGGUGGAAGCAUGGUGACAUGUGGAGCUGACGAAUACUAAUCGAUCGAAGACUUAAUCAA
rnacentral:rRNA from 1 species